AUGCUCUGGUUUCUCCUCAGAACGCAUAAAUCUUUUGCCUUUUACUAAAGGUUUCCAUGGAGAGCAACAACUGUGAAUUGGUAACCAAAUUUUUUGAGGCCUUGCUUAGGCAGGGCU
ensembl:snRNA U5 U5 spliceosomal RNA